UACAGAGGUCCCAAGCGUUGUUCGGAUUCAUUGGGCGUAAAGGGUGUGUAGGUGGCUCCGUAAGUCGGGUGUGAAAUCUCGGGGCUUAACUCCGAAACUGCAUUCGAUACUGCGGUGCUUGAGGACUGGAGAGGAGACUGGAAUUCAUGGUGUAGCAGUGAAAUGCGUAGAGAUCAUGAGGAAGACCAGUGGCGAAGGCGGGUCUCUGGACAGUUCCUGACACUGAGACACGAAGGCCAGGGGAGCAAACGGG
rnacentral:rRNA from 1 species